GUGGGUCAUGAGUUCAGACCCAGCCUGGCCAGGUGCUCCGGGCUUGAAGUCUCUCAGAUGGUUGCCGUCAGACGUCACCUGGACUAUGGUCACCUGGAGACUCACCUGGGACUGGAUGAUCUGAUUCCCAGGUGGCUUGCUCACCUGGCUGGCAAGGAUCUUGGUGGGAAGUUUCAGGUCCUCUCUGUGUGGGCCUCUUCACAGAGCUGGAAUGACUUUGAGGCCAGAAGAGCUAAAGCCAUGAGAGAUAAGCCUGGAGCUUCUAGGAGACCGGAGUGGUGGAUGCUAGGAAGGUGCUAACCCCAGGAUUUGUGGCUGGAGGAAGGAGCCCACUGAUGGCAAGCUAGGUGACUUGUUUCCACUGGUUUGAGGUCUGGAAGGCCCAGGACCUUCAGAUGACCCAAAUCCAGCUGUUGGCAGGACCCAGGUCUAUCCAGCCAGCGUGCAUGGUUAACUAGGAGCCACAGCAUUUUAGAAUUGAGAAGUGAUGCUCAAGCAUUCCAGAUAAGACCGAGAUAAAAUCCUGGCUUUCCACUCUGACUGCUGACUGUGCUCUGUCCCUGCUUCCCUGU